AUGGUGACACUCUGGGCAAUAUGGGCCGCCAGGAGGAAGGCAAUUCACGAGCAUAUAUUUCAGCCACCUUAUUCUGUUGACAGCUUCAUAUCUAAAUAUAUAGGUGAGGUCCAAGUGACUAAUUCAAGGUCUCCAUCGACGCUCACUCCAACCAGUGCCAGGCCGAGGCGAUGGGUAGCCCCGCCCCAAGGGGAUGCCAAGUUCAAUGUUGACGCAGCAGUGACCAGGUAUGGUGGAGCAGUUGGGGUCAUUUGCAGAGAUGACAGAGGUAUGUUCAUGGGAGCGUCGACUCUCUCUUUCAAAUACAUUGUGGAUCCCCCGACGUUGGAAGCUCUCGCCAUCAGAGAAGCGCUCGCUUUGGCGGAUGAUCUCUAUUUGAGGCGCAUACAAGUCGCAUCGGAUUGCAAAACGGUGGUGCAGGAUUUAAAUAAAGAGAAUUUGGCGAGCUAUGGUGCAGUUAUUCAUGAAAUAGUUGAACAUUCUUUAGCUUUUGAUUUUUGUAAUUUCAGUCAUGAGUUUAGGAGCUCAAAUUUUGAAGCUCACAAACUAGCGAAGCAUGCUUUAUCUCUCGAUGGUGGCCGCCAUGUUUGGUUAGGACACCCCGGAACUUACCAUCCGUCCCUGUAA
rnacentral:rRNA from 1 species